CAAGCAGCACAGCACACAAGUUCUUCCAUCGUCCAGGGUCAAGAAACACAGUAGGUCACAAAAAGACAAAGGCAAAGUUUCGUUUCUUCUCAUCGAAGAAGAACAUGGGACACAACGAGAAGCCCAAGAGAUCCCGGGGAAGUCGAGAGGCCGAUGACUCGAGCAGCACUACGAACGAAAAAAGCAGCUUGAUGCCUCCCCCCACCGCCACCAAGCAAGUCGAGAAGUAGCUCUAAUGGCGUGGAGUACACGCGUUCGACACCUCCAUUGCCGAGUGCUCUGCACAUCACGGCGCCACAGACUACGCGCCACCAACCCAGCCGCAACUCCAAGAAUUCCGACAAGACAGUCAUCUCCCUUGAUGUUGACGCUCCGCCACUAGGGCACCUGGAGGACAAACUUGACGACGUGCUGCCGCACGUGCCUAUGAGCCGCGGCAUGGAGCAACUCUUAGACCAGGUGAUGGAAAACAUGGACCGAGAUGAGCCGGCCACCAAAUCCGCACCUCCGGCCAAGUCUAGUUCGUUGGCGAAGCACACGCCCCCGGCAACGAGUGAUCCAGCUGCGAAUUCUUCAACUGUGGCAGGGAGCGAUCUCAUCGUAAAACCCGCCUCCCUGGUGACAAAGCCCGCUUCUUUAACCACAUCAACAUGCACCCCCGAAGUGGACAAAAAGCUAUCAAUGACAAGGAUGUUGGGGUAACUACAAAGAAACCUAGGCCAUCUGCUUGUGAUGUCUCCAGCAAAACAACUAAUCUAGAAGACUUUUAUUCUCCUGAGGCAAAGGAACUCCGGGAACAAAUUGAGCAACACCAGAAUAUCCUUGCUGGGGAAAACACUCUGCUCGAGAAGCUCAAAGUCCCUCCAACUAAUAACAUCUCAACGCCAAGCCUUGCUCCCGCCCGGAAUAGCAACAAAGUACAUCUCAAUAGGACUCAAAGGUGGCCGAGUCGUACACAAGACGCCGUGCGGAGGCGGCUGCCUUCCUGGCCGCCGGCGGAAAGCUUCCGGAGAUCGCGACGAUCCUAGCAUACAAAGCUCCUGAGUGAGGGAGCGGACUAGAGAUCAUAGACUGCUCUGCAAAAGCUGCACUUAGUUCAAAUAGGUUCUAUCUUAGUUAAAUAUAAUUUGUCUUAGCUCAUCCAGAACAAAGUUUGAU